AAACCAUGUAUCAAGCAUUUUUUAUUAACUAUUUGAAUCGCUCCCAUGCUUCAAAUAAUGUUUCGUCCUCAAAUUUUUGAAAGGACAUAAUAUCGUUCCUCAGUUU
rnacentral:snoRNA from 1 species